rnacentral:rRNA from 1 species
CACGUAGGGCGCAAGCGUUGUCCGGAAUUAUUGGGCGUAAAGAGCGUGUAGGCGGCCGUACAGGUCAGCUGUGAAAACUCGAGGCUCAACCUCGAGACGUCGGUUGAAACCGUACGGCUAGAGUCCGGAAGAGGAGAGUGGAAUUCCCGGUGUAGCGGUGAAAUGCGCAGAUAUCGGGAAGAACACCCGUGGCGAAGGCGGCUCUCUGGGACGGUACUGACGCUGAGACGCGAAAGCGUGGGGAGCGAACAGG